UGCCAGGUCGUCUAAUGGUAGGACCGCAGACUUUGGAUCUGCGUAUCAUGGUUCGAAUCCAUGCCUGGCAA
rnacentral:tRNA from 4 species